UCUUCCGGUUCAUCUUGCAUAUGAAGCUCGCAUUGGGGGUCCAGUGCAAUAUCGUUGGAUGUAUCCUUAUGAGCGGUAAUAAUUAAUCACUGCUGCUUCAUCAAAAUAUCAAUUAUUUAAUAUUCUUAAUUUGUAUGAUAAUUAAUUAUGUAAUACAGGUACAAUGGAAUUUUAAAGAAGAAUAUUAAAAAUAAAGCCAAAGUUGAAGGAUCAAUUGCUAAUGCAUACUUGGUAGAGGAGGCAUCUUCUUUUUGUGCUUACUAUUUUGAGUCACAUGUUUCUACAAGACAUCGACGGGUUCCACGUAAUGAUGAUGGUGGUGUAGUGGAAGAUCAGGAGAUUGAAGGAAAUUUAUCAAUAUUCAAAUAUCCGGGUAGACCCAUAGGUCAAUCAAAGAAAAGGUUAUUGACAAAGGAUGAAAGAAAUGCAGCUCAUUUAUAUAUCCUCCUAAAUUGUGAAGAAGUUUCGCCAUUUAUCAAGUAAGUGAAAUUCACCGCCAAAUUAUAAAUUUAAUAGUCUUCUAAAAUGCAUAUAUAUUCAUGAAAAUAACCAAAGUUGUAUAAUUUCUCCUAAUGCAAGAUUAUAUAUUGAGGAACUACAGAGGAUAUCACCUAACAUUACCGAUGGAGAGGUAGACAUCACAUUGGAGAAUAACUUUCCCACAUGGUUCAGAGCAUACGUACAUGAACCAACCAAUACAGUGAACAAUCCUCUAAUCCAAGAUUUAGCCAAAGGACCUCUAAAUACAGUGAAUGUUUACACAGGAUACUAUGUAAAUGGAUACAAAUUUCACACUGAGGGACGAAGUGCUAAUCGAAUGAUGGUGAAUUGUGGUGUAUGCAUUAAAGGAACGAACUAUAGUGAUCAAUCAAGUGAUUACUAUGGUAAGUUGAUAGAGGUUCUUGAAGUAGAAUACCCGGCUUUACCUAUGAAGCGGACAGUUCUAUUCCACUGUGAAUGGUUUGAUCCUACCCCAAAUGUUGGAGUGAAAAUUCAUUUAAUGUAUAAUAUUGUGGAUGUAAAUCAAAGAAGGAGAUUUCAUAAGUA